UAGUCCACGCCGUAAACGAUGACAACUAGCUGUUGGGAGACUAUGUCUUUCAGUGGCGCAGCUAACGCUUUAAGUUGUCCGCCUGGGGAGUACGGCCGCAAGGCUAAAACUCAAAUGAAUUGACGGGGGCCCGCACAAGCAGUGGAGCAUGUGGUUUAAUUCGAUGCAACGCGAAGAACCUUACCAGGCCUUGACAUCCCCGGAACUUUCUAGAGAUAGAUUGGUGCCUUCGGGAACCGGGUGACAGGUGCUGCAUGGCUGUCGUCAGCUCGUGUCGUGAGAUGUUGGGUUAAGUCCCGUAACGAGCGAAACCCUUAUUGUUAGUUGCCAGCGGGUAAUGCCGGGGACUCUAAGAAGACUGCCAGCGCAAGCUGAGAGGAAGGUGGGGAUGACGUCAAAUCAUCACGGGCCCUUACGUCCUGGGGCUACACACGUGCUACAAUGGGUAGAGACAGAGGGGCAGCCACCUGGGUG
rnacentral:rRNA from 1 species